rnacentral:rRNA from 1 species
GAUGAACGCUGGCGGCGUGCCUAAUACAUGCAAGCCGAGCGAAAAGACGAGGGCCUUGCUCUCCUGACGUUAGGGCCGGACGGGUGAGUAACACGUGAAAAACCUCCCUAUAAGAUGGGGAUAACUUCGGAAACCCGGAGCUAAUACCGGAUAAUUUAUUGAACCGCAUGGUUCAUUAGUAAAAGACGGUUUUGCUGUCACUUAUAGAUGGAUCCGCGCCGCAUUAGCUAGUUGGUAAGGUAACGGCUUACCAAGGCAACGAUGCGUAGCCGACCUGAGAGGGUGAUCGGCCACACUGGAACUGAGACACGGUCCAGACUCCUACGGGAGGCAGCAGUAGGGAAUCUUCCGCAAUGGGCGAAAGCCUGACGGAGCAACGCCGCGUGAGUGAUGAAGGUCUUCGGAUCGUAAAACUCUGUUAUUAGGGAAGAACAAAUGUGUAAGUAACUAUGCACGUCUUGACGGUACCUAAUCAGAAAGCCACGGCUAACUACGUG